GCAGGGAACCAGCCAGGAAGGACAUGCUUAAAGCAUGAAGUCACCAGCUCCGAGGGCAAACCACCCAUGGAAAGAAGGUUCUUGUGCUGAGCGCCUCCGACAUGGCUCUCCGAGGCUUCGAGGAGCAGCAGAGAAAAUGCGAAGAAUCUACAAAAUGUUCUGCAGCUCUGCUCAGCUCUUGAAACUCAAAUAUUUGUUUUCUAUCAGGAAGUGGCUCAGAGGACGGGCACAGUCUCACAAAGUGCGUGAUCCGGGCACCAGCCAGGCGCCCCAGCGGGGUUCAGGAUGUCUUAGCCACGCCUCCAGUCAACACCUUUCGACAACAACUGCACCUGAGUCAGAGCUAAAGCCCUUCCUGGGCUUAGUCCGACCCUCCAGUUCACUCCCUUCGCCUCCAGAGUCCAGAGCAGUCCGGCGCCCCCUGCUGGUGACCUAUCUUGCUUCUCUUCUGAUGGAUUUAGGAACUGGACUGCCUUUCCCAGCACUGAAAACAGGAGCAUGCCAUUCUGCUGCAGGGCGGGAUGUCUCUGCAGCGUUUGCCUGGGAGGAACGUGUGCCCAGUGACUGGAGGAGACGCAGUGGCCAGCAUGCAGCAGGGUGGCCUGAGAACAGGAGGAUUCUUUACCACUGCGCCACGUGGGAAGCCCUGUUUCAGGAUUGUUCACACCAUCACCAUGUCGAGAGUAAAUAGACGGUGAAUCUUCAGAUAACAUGGUAAUGGAGGUCUCCCGGCAUGGCCUUCUUCACCAACAGAGACACCCUUCAGGCGUCACCCGCGGGGUUAUUCAGUGUCGCCAGCUGCCUCGGCUAGAGGGAAGACAUAACCUCCAAACAGCGGUUGCCCUCACUCACAAGCAUUGCAGCGUCUCUGCUGCAUCCUCUUGAGGCCUGUGGGCUCCGUCCGGACCCUCCUGAGAAAACCUUUGGUGGGGGUGGGGGAGGUGGGACAGUUUGGAUCAUGGCAUUGAGCCAAGGCGGUACUGGCAAGAAGAUGGGCACAGGGGCUUCCCUGGCAGUCCAGUGGUUAAGACUCCAAGCUUCCAGUGCAGGGGGCACAGGUUCAGUCCCUGGUCAGGGAACGAAGAUCCCACCUGGGAUUUGGGAGGGACAUUGCAUGGCCAAAAAUUUAAAAAUAAAUAAAUAAAAUAAAAGGAAUAGGAGUCGAGGUUGCCAGACAGCGAGCCCCCAAGAACAGUAAAAAGAAGAAGAUGGGCACGCAGUCGUUUCUGGUUCUGCUGUUAGCACACUCUGGGCUCUGGGACAAGCUCCCUCAGUCCUGUCUACCACAGGCCCUUCACCAUAGGACAGGGGUGACAGAAGGAGAAGCUCUUUGAAAAGUUUAGUGUUCUCCUUAAAAGUGCUCUCUAGCCAGUGAAAUUUUCCUAGAGACAAGUCUUAGUUUUCCUAUAACUCUCUCCUUCUUAAAGCGUUUAUUAUUAUUAUUUUUUAAUGUGUGUGUGGGGAAACCUGUGUACUCUUUCCACUUCCACCAUUUCCUAGUCAGGAUUUUUUUUUUUAAAGCAGCAUCUCCUCUGAAUUUCUCAGCAACCAUACUUUACCCUGUAGGUGGUUCUCAAUUCAGAGUUGAAAUUCAUAAGCAAACUGAUUUUUCUGAGCCUCAUGGUGGCUCACACAUUCAAAAAAACUCCAUGUGUCUGUCUUCUUGUCACUGUGAACUCUCCUCUUUCUCAUCAAUCUCUGAACGAAUCUCUCAGCAGCUCCUCCCCACAAUGAGCGCUUCCAAAUCAGUGUGAAACCCUUAAUUUAAUUAACACCAUCACAGUUUCUCAACAAGGGUAAAUGAGAUCAACUACACUUACACCAGAAAGGAAGGAAAUUAAUUUUCCUCCAUUGGGGGGAAAAAAAAAAGAAAGAAAGCUUUGCAAACUCAGCAAAUUCACCAUUGUCUUAGUGGGAAUCACAGAAGAUCCUGAAUCCAGGGGUCAGCAGGUCACGCAUCCUGGGUGGGUUUCAAAAUAACUCCAGAAAUACUGACAGCAACAACUGAAAAGAGACCCCAGGGGAAAGAUAUUCCUUAAGUAAAGGAAAAGGAUGGGGUUGUGAAAAGAGGGAAUUAACAUCACUAUCAGAAGUGAGGUUUGAUGCUGUAAUCUGCACGUAAAUAAAGCAUACUCAGAGCUCCUCUCUCACCAGUUUGAAGACUUCUGGUCAAUGUGUUGUUUAAAUCAUGAUCAGAAGGAGAUACCUAUCAUUUUCUAUUUUCUAGAACCAGAUUUUUAGGGGGUAAAAGGGAAGGGAUCCAGCACUUAGGAGAGAUUUACUGUAAAAUAUAAAAUAAGAUGAUUAAGACAGAAUGGAUCAUGUCUAGUAACCCUCAGCGUGCUCUAGGACCAAAAUGGGCCAAUUCAUGUGAAAGCUGGCUGGAGACGAGCAGGUAAAAAUCUGGGUGAAAGAGGCAUGGGGUCCAUCCCUGACCAGUGCUGGGAAAUAUGCCAACUGCAUCGUGUUUUCUGUGGAAGAAACACCCUGCCGUGAUGCUAGAAUGCAGUAGGAAACAGCUGUAUUCGAGAGAAGGAGAAACAGUCAUCUUGUUAUGCUUCCCUGUUAGACUCUCAGGCAGACACAUGCCAUCUUGAUUACUGUGCUUUUCAAAAGAUACAGAAAAGCUUGAGACAAUCCAGGAAGAGUGACCCAGGGGAAAAGAUAGAAAGUGUGAUGGGAAAGAGGUCCUAGAAGGGAAGGUGAAAGGAUCAGGACCACCAACCUAAAGAGGAAAGAGCAAGUGGUGAGGAAACACUGUUUUCAAACAUGACAGAUGUUUGGCAGAAGGAUACUGAUCCUAUGUUACCUGAGUAUGUGGAGGCCAGGACCGAAAAUGCAGAUGGAAAUCAGAGCAGCAAAUAAAUCGUCUGAUGGCUUUCUGGCUUCUGCCAGAAAGACCAAGGCCAAGGCCAAGCUCCCUCACAGUGACGCAGGGUCCCAUCUGGUGUCUCUCCUGCCAGUCACUGCGAACCCACGCUGGACACGUCAUCUGCCCCUGCUUUGAAUGUCUUUCACACGUUUUCACUAGUAGCGACAACUGGGAAUCUCUUCUGGGUGGUACCCUCUCCUCUAUCCGUCUCCCAGGAGCUCUCAACACAGCACUGGACCAGAGUUUGAACCCAAUUAAAGGUUGUUAAAUCAAUGAAGAAUUGAAGGAGGGAAUUCUUAAUGCCAAGAACAAAGACUAGGAAAGAGAUGUCUAAUAUGAAAAUUGGUUUUUUAAGAUUCUUUUUUUUUUUAUGUGGACCAUUUCUUUAAGUCUCUAUCGAAGUCGUUACUCUAUUGUUUUAUGUUUGGCUUUUUUUUUUUUUUGGCCGCAAAGCAUGUGGGAUCUUAGUUCCCUAACCAGGAAUUGAACCCAUACUCCCCUGCGUUAGAAGACAACGCCCUAACCACUGGGCAACCAGGGAAGGCCCUAAGAAGGAAUUCUAAAGUGAGAUGCUGUCUGUUGUAUUCUAGAAAUUCCCCUUCAUCCCCCCGAACUCAGUCUUCAGUAAAAUCUACAGUGC